rnacentral:rRNA from 1 species
UACGUAGGGUGCAAGCGUUGCUCGGAAUCAUUGGGCGUAAAGGGCGCGUAGGCGGCUUAACAAGUCACUUGUGAAAUCUCCGGGCUUAACUCGGAACGGCCAAGUGAAACUGUUAUGCUAGAGUGCAGAAGGGGCAAUCGGAAUUCUUGGUGUAGCGGUGAAAUGCGUAGAUAUCAAGAGGAACACCUGAGGUGAAGACGGGUUGCUGGGCUGACACUGACGCUGAUGCGCGAAAGCCAGGGGAGCAAACGGG